rnacentral:rRNA from 1 species
AAAACGACUCUCGGCAACGGAUAUCUCGGCUCUCGCAUCGAUGAAGAACGUAGCGAAAUGCGAUACUUGGUGUAAAUUGCAGAAUCCCGUGAACCAUCGAGUUUUUGAACGCAAGUUGCGCCCAAAACCUUCGGGUCGAGGGCACGUCUGCCUGGGUGUCACGC